GCUGGGCGCGGUGGUGCAUGCCUAUAGUCCCAGCUACUCUGAAGGCUGAGGUGGGAGGAUCGUUUGAGCCCAGGAGUUCUGGGCUGUAGUGCGCUAUGCAGAUUGGGUGUCUGCACUAAGUUCAACAUCAAUAUGGUGACCUCCUGGGAGCGGGGGACCAUCAGGUUGCCUAAGGAGUGGUGAACCAGCCCAGGUCAGAACCGGAGCAGGUCAAAACUCCCGUGCUGAUCAGUAGUGGGAUCACGCCUAUGAACAGCCACUGCACUCCAGCAUGGGCAACAUAGGGAGACCCCAUCUCU
rnacentral:SRP_RNA from 1 species